rnacentral:rRNA from 1 species
UACUCCUACGGGAGGCAGCAGUGAGGAAUAUUGGACAAUGGGUGCAAGCCUGAUCCAGCCAUCCCGCGUGAAGGAUUAAGGUCCUAUGGAUUGUAAACUUCUUUUAUACAGGGAUAAACCUCUCCUCGUGAGGAGAGCUGAAGGUACUGUAUGAAUAAGCACCGGCUAACUCCGUGCCAGCAGCCGCGGUAAUACGGAGGGUGCAAGCGUUAUCCGGAUUUAUUGGGUUUAAAGGGUCCGUAGGCGGGCCGAUAAGUCAGUGGUGAAAUCUCGCAGCUUAACUGUGAAACUGCCAUUGAUACUGUUGGUCUUGAGUAAAUUUGAAGUGGCUGGAAUAAGUAGUGUAGCGGUGAAAUGCAUAGAUAUUACUUAGAACACCAAUUGCGAAGGCAGGUCACUAAGAUUUAACUGACGCUGAUGGACGAAAGCGUGGGUAGCGAACAG